UGGGGAAUAUUGGACAAUGGGGGCAACCCUGAUCCAGCCAUGCCGCGUGUGUGAAGAAGGCCUUUUGGUUGUAAAGCACUUUAAGCAGGGAGGAGAGGCUAAUGGUUAAUACCCAUUAGAUUAGACGUUACCUGCAGAAUAAGCACCGGCUAACUCUGUGCCAGCAGCCGCGGUAAUACAGAGGGCGCGAGCGUUAAUCGGAAUUACUGGGCGUAAAGCGAGUGUAGGUGGCUCAUUAAGUCACAUGUGAAAUCCCCGGGCUUAACCUGGGAACUGCAUGUGAUACUGGUGGUGCUAGAAUAUGUGAGAGGGAAGUAGAAUUCCAGGUGUAGCGGUGAAAUGCGUAGAGAUCUGGAGGAAUACCGAUGGCGAAGGCAGCUUCCUGGCAUAAUAUUGACACUGAGAUUCGAAAGCGUGGGUAGCAAACAGGAUUAGAUACCCUGGUAGUCCACGCCGUAAACGAUGUCUACUAGCCGUUGGGGUCCUUGAGACUUUAGUGGCGCAGUUAACGCGAUAAGUAGACCGCCUGGGGAGUACGGCCGCAAGGUUAAAACUUAAAUGAAUUGAC
rnacentral:rRNA from 1 species